rnacentral:rRNA from 1 species
GACGAACGCUGGCGGCGUGCUUAACACAUGCAAGUCGAACGGAAAGGCCCUGCUUUUGUGGGGUGCUCGAGUGGCGAACGGGUGAGUAACACGUGAGUAACCUGCCCUUGACUUUGGGAUAACUUCAGGAAACUGGGGCUAAUACCGGAUAUGAGCUCCUGCUGCAUGGUGGGGGUUGGUAAGUUUCGGCGGUUGGGGAUGGACUCGCGGCUUAUCAGCUUGUUGGUGGGGUAGUGGCUUACCAAGGUUUUGACGGGUAGCCGGCCUGAGAGGGUGACCGGCCACAUUGGGACUGAGAUACGGCCCAGACUCCUACGGGAGGCAGCAGUGGGGAAUAUUGCACAAUGGGCGGAAGCCUGAUGCAGCAACGCCGCGUGCGGGAUGACGGCCUUCGGGUUGUAAACCGCUUUCGCCUGUGCCGAAGCGUGAGUGACGGUAAUGGGUAAAGAAGCACCGGCUAACUACGUG